GAAAGGAAAUGGCGUGGGGCGCCUCCCUCCCUCCGCCCACGCCGCCCGUUCGCCAUCGGACGGCUGCGUUUGCACUCGCGCAUUUUCCGCCUUGGCCGUCCAACAUAAUGAGCUCGAACGGACCGCGUGCUGCCUGCUGCGUGCGUCUCGUAAGUUUCCACCCACUACGUUCUCCGCCACGACUCCCCAGCUCUCAAAUUCCUCAAACCAUGGCCGCCGCGGCCUCACGGCACCUCUGCUCCGCCACGGCGCUGCUGUCUCCCUCCGCCGCCGCCGCGCCCAUCCGCCAGAGGGUCGGUUACGGCUACGGCUCCUCCUCCGCCCGCCGGUGGGCCCACCGGCCGGACGCCGCGUCCCGGAUCCGGCGCCUGACGACUCGCUCGAGGACAGCGAGGGUGAGCUGCGCCUACUCCACCGGCGCUGAAGCAAUCACUGCAUGUUCCUGGAACCAAAAUGUCAUAUGCAGUGAUGUACCUGUGCUUGUGGAGUUUUGGGCCUCAUGGUGUGGACCUUGUAAAAUGGUCCAUCGAAUUGUCGACGAGAUUGCGGGCGAGUACGCUGGAAGGAUAAAAUGCUAUAAGCUUGACACUGAUGAUUACCCACAAACUGCAAACUCCUACAAUAUCGAGAGGGUUCCGACUGUUUUACUAUUCAAGGAUGGAGAGAAAAUACAUAGUAUUACUGGAACUCUGCCAAAAGCCGUUUAUGUGAGGGCCAUUGAGAAUUCUUUCUUGCAACAGUGACCAUUUUGGUUACAACGUUAUAUUGUUACUUGGUCCAGAUUCAUAUUCCCAUAUACUUGAUUUUUCACUGCCAGCUAGUGGAAAGAGUAGGGAAGGUUUCUCUCUGUUAUGUCAGUGCAAUUGUUGUUUCUGUGGGUCUGCUAAUACUGAGCUAAUUGUCCCAGGUAACUCUUCAAAGCAUGUUUUAUUAAACCUUGUGCUCCUAUUAUUUAUUGUCUCUAAUCUGCAAUGUAUAUCUAGACUCAACAAGCUAAACCUUGGUUAUCAUGCAGAACUUCUUCUUAUUACCCUUUAGCUUGCCUAGGAUGUAAUCUUUAGCUCUCCUUGGGCUGACAAAGAAGACCCACACACUAAGGUAAAAGCUGAGAAAGAAAAAUAGUUUAGAUUAGGUGCAGGAAUAUUGUUAAGUACUUUGGCAGGCGGUAUCAACAGACUGGUGCCAUGGAUUUUUAAUCUUUCCAUGCUGAAGACUAGUGCAUAGCAAGUGGCUCCGAGUGGCCUGAGUGGAACCAAUGUAGCACAAGUUGCAGCUGCUCCUACAGUGGUGCUGUUGGCUAGUGGCUACAUCCAUUUACCGUGUCUUUCAGAGUUUGAGCUAUGUAGAAUAGUGAGGAGGUAUAGCACAGUAAUAUGAUCGGAAUUUCCGGCGAUCACCAGAAUGUUCAGGUACACCUAAAUGCAGCUGAAACACAUCAAGUGCCACAUGAUGGAGAUCAAAGUUCUGGGAUCGUCUGAUGACUGCUUGACUUAAAUCAAUUUGCAGACACCAAUGGUGAUGGGGCUGCACUAGAGAAUAUUUUUGCUGAAGUUUCUAUUUGUGAAACUAUGAGCCUAUUUUCUCCAACGGUAUUCAGUUUGGAGCUCUGAAGUUGUGUGGGCUUUAUUUAAAAUUCAGUCUAAUGCUACACGUGGUUUCAAAGGUACUGGAGUGAAGCUUUAGACGCAGGUGGUGUAUGUGGUGCUUACACUUUUUUUUCCCGGAUUUAGGACAUGGAUCAUUCAUAUGUAUCGUAAAAAUCAUCCACUUUGCCCUUUUCUGAAGUAUUAUUUGUAACUGUCGUGGAAAUAUCAAUAACAUCUGGAAAAGCAGACAAUCACUUAUCAUCA